rnacentral:lncRNA from 1 species
GAGGUGGGCAGAGGUGGGCAGUGAGGUAGGAGUGGGUCUAGAAUGCGUGGGGGUGGGUGGUGACUGUGAUCAAAACAGGUUGAAUUAAAUUCUCAAAGUAAUAAUAAUAAUAAUAGUAAAUAAUAAUAAUAAAUAAUAGUAAUAAUAAUAAUAGAAUUCUACUUCUGUCAGCCAUACAUGUCUUUAAUUCUUGUGCUCCGAAAGAAGAGACAGGGAGACCUCUGUGACCUUGAGGCCAAUCUGGUCUAUACAGUAAGACCCUGUCUCAAAACAACCCCCAAACUGUCCCACUUCUCAGUGAGGUUUACCUUAGCGAUCCAGCUCACAAGCCUUCUGCACUUACUCUGUCUGCUAAUGUACUUGAGUGAGGCCUUCAGCUACUUAGAAUUUUUCCCCAUUUAUGUGUGUGUCCAGAUGUGCAGGCAUGUGGAAGCCAGAGGCUGUUUUCAGGUACCUUCUUCAACUGUUCUCAGGCUUACUUACUUACUUUAUUUAUUUAUUUUUGACACGAGGUCUCCCCCUGAGUCUGAAGCUCUCUGUUUUGGUCAGAGUGGCUGGUCACUGAGCUCCAGGGUCCUCCUGUCUUCACACCCUCCCAGGUGCUGGGUUAAAGACUCGUGUUGCUGUGCCGGACUCAGUGGGUGCUGUGUGCACCAAGCCCAUCACUAAGGAGCCGUCUCCUCACCCUUCUUGAACUGCUUUUUGGCAUGUGUAUGUUUGCGUACGUGUCCUUCUUGACCAACUGUAAGAGCUUCACAGGCAUAGCUGUGCGAGGCACAAGCGCACCAGGCUGAGCACAGAGUCUUGGAGAGCCUCCGGGAGAGUGGCCUCUCUGCUUCCCCUUCUCAGAAAGCUCUAGGACUCCGACUCACUGACAGCUCAUCCAGCUCUCUCCUUAGCCAGAAAGGAACAUCAUUAGCCUAUGGUUUGUUUUCUUUCCUCUCCAGAGGGUUGAGAGAACCCAAGGAAUGUCUGUCUUUUAUACAAAGGAUAAGAAUGAAGCAGAGGCAGAGGCUAUUGUGAACCACCUAGUGAGGUUUCU